CGAUUCCUUUUUCACAUACUCAUAAAGUCAGACGCACAAAUAUACACGCAUAAAAAGGAAAGUGGCAGACGUUAGAAAAUGAGAAGUUAGAUGGAUAGACAACGAAGGAAGCGUUACAUGGCGAGAGGAAGCGUUUUGGCUACCGCUAGCUUGUCCUAUAUUUCCGAUAUGAAUAUAUUAUAAGAAGGAGCAUAUUGUUAUUUCGUCAGACCAUUCUUUCACAGUGUCAAUUCCUGUGUUGCCACGGUAACAGCCUAGAUUCGAGAGGUUGGGAGAUGCGAACCCACAGAGCAGAGACAAAGGGUAGCGCGUGCGCUCAUUCGUUGGUCCGCCUACAUAUUUGUACAUCUACACGCUUGUGUACGUACACGGAUACUGGUAAAAUCUGUCCAGAAGAAGAACAGAAGAGAAAGAAGAAGAGAACUAUUGUCGCUCGAUCGUGUCCUUUUGUUACAUAUUUCCGGUAGCAGGGCUUACAACGGACGUAAACAAUCCAUUGAAAUAUACGGCAAUGUUCCCGUCUUUGUACGCGCGUAUAGCCGACGAAUUCCGAUUUAACAAAGUCGACGAACACUCGACCAAUUUCCUUUCCCUGAAAACAUACUUGUCGCGCGACUAUUCAUUUUCAAUUUGCGUUCAGCUAAUAAUUUCCGCGUUCUCGUAUCGGAUCGCUUUUCCAACAUUUGCUGCCUAUUGCGAUCAAUGAAAACUAGGUCACGCUUUUCCUCGUAUCAAGAAGACAGGUAAAGUCAAACGAGGCCAUUCGUCCCCGUAAUCACACACCAACGAUCUUGCUAACGUUUUACUUUGGAUAGCCAAUAUUAAUAAAUUUGAACGACCGCUUGCAUAUUUAUCGCACAAUCGACGCGAUAUAUUCGCAACAGAUGUUACUUUAAACUUUAGAGACUUUGGAAAAUAUAUUACGGCGCAUAUCGUGCUUAACGUAAAGAGAAUUCAAAGUUCAAAGAUCGUACUAUGUGUG